GCCGGUGCAGCUGAUGACAUAACUUUUCCCCGUCAGAUCGACCUUGUUGAUCCAACUAAACCAUUAGCCAGUUUGGUCUGAUGCAUUGGC
ensembl:snoRNA